UUACGGUCAUAUCACGUUCAAACACCGGUUCUCGUACGAUGACAAAAGAUAAGCAACGUCGAGACUGGCCAGUACCUAGAUGGGUGACAGCUUGGGAAGACCAGGUACUGUAA